AGAAGUAAGAGUCGUAACAAGGUUUCCGUAGGUGAACCUGCGGAAGGAUCAUUAUUGUAUAACCGAGGUGCGAGGGCUGUCGCUGACCCGAAAGGUCGUGCACGCCCGAGUGCCCUCACACACAUCCAUCUCACCCCUAUGUGCACCACCGCGUGGGUCCCCCUUUGGCUUGUUCGGAGGGGGGCUUACGUUUUCACACAAACUUUGUAUGCAGUGUAGAAUGUAUUUUUUGUUUUUGCGAUCACGCAAUCAAUACAACUUUCAACAACGGAUCUCUUGGCUCUC
rnacentral:misc_RNA from 1 species